GAGGGAAUUCCCAGUGUACCGGUGAAAUGCGUAGAUAUUGGGAAGAACACCAGUGGCGAAGGCGCUCUACUGGGCCGUAACUGACGCUGAGGGACGAAAGCUAGGGGAGCGAAAGGGAUUAGAUACCCCUGUAGUCCUAGCUGUAAACGAUGGAUACUAGGUGUUGGACGUAUCGACCCGUUCAGUACCGCAGCCAACGCGAUAAGUAUCCCGCCUGGGGAGUACGCACGCAAGUGUGAAACUCAAAGGAAUUGACGGGGGCCCGCACAAGCGGUGGAGUAUGUGGUUUAAUUCGAUGCAACGCGAAGGACCUUACCAGGGCUUGACAUCCCGCGAACCUUGAUGAAAGUCGAGGGUGCCUUCGGGAGCGCGGAGACAGGUGGUGCAUGGCUGUCGUCAGCUCGUGUCGUGAGAUGUUGGGUUAAGUCCCGCAACGAGCGCAACCCACGUCCUUAGUUGCCAUCAUUCAGUUGGGCACUCUGGGGAGACUGCCGGGGACAACUCGGAGGAAGGUGUGGAUGACGUCAAGUCAUCAUGCCCCUUACGUUCUGGGCUACACACGUACUACAAUGCUUCGGACAAAGGGCAGCCAACUAGCGAUAGUGAGCUAAUCCCAUAAACCGAGGCACAGUUCAGAUUGCAGGCUGCAACUCGCCUGCAUGAAGGAGGAAUCGCUAGUAAUCGCCGGUCAGCAUACGGCGGUAAAUACGUUCCCGGGCAUUGUACACACCGCCCGUCACACCAUGGGAGUUGGCCACGCCCGAAGCCGUUACCCUAACCUUUCGAGGAGGGGGGCGUCGAAGGUGGGGCUGAUGAC
rnacentral:rRNA from 1 species